CAGACAACCAGUCUGUUCCACAGGUGGACAGUCACACACUAAGAACAUUCACACGCAAGACUUUGGGAUGUGCAGAAUUUCAGAUCAAGAAUGGUGAGGACAGUGAAUCUAUUUUAGUUAGCCACUCACAUGAGCUCCAGAAUCUAUAUAUUUACCUCCUUUACAUCCUGCUGUCUCACAAAGACAACAAGUGUUUUCCAGUCACCUAAAAGGAGACACACAAAACAGCAAACAUGUCAGAAGCGGCUCCGGUAAGUUCAUUCUUAAAAUGUACUUGCUAAAAUUAACAAAAGCUUAAUAUGUUAAACAAAUGUAAAAUUGGCAUUUAUUUGACCAAGAAGCAAAAACAAAAAAUGUAGCAUAAAAUAAAAAUCAUGCUAGCACAUUUUAGCACAUGUUUUAU